CAUCCAAAUUGGAAUGUUUUGGGGCAGCGGGUGAUUCGUGGUACGAGUCGGUGAGUUCGGGACACUUAGUGGGUCCCGACGACGUCCCGGUGUAGUUUUCGGGACUUCCGGUGAGUUACGGUAAUCGGUUUUGGGAAACCGAUUACGGGGAUCUUGUGUGGGGGUUUGUGAGUCUCGUGCUUUGGGUUAGUGGUUUGGAUACUGACUUGGUGGAUCUUCUUAGGUCCGGUAGACUCUGUGCGUACCCAGUGUUCCGACGCGACAGUGACAGGUGGGUGCUUCGAGCUGGUAGUCGGUGAGAGCGUUUCACCUC
rnacentral:lncRNA from 1 species